CCGCGAAUAGCUCAUUACAACAGCCGUUGUUUAUUAGAUCUUAUAUCCUACUUGGAUAACUGUGGUAAUUCUAGAGCUAAUACAUGCAACAAAACCCAGACCUCACGGAAUGGGUGCACUUAUUAGACUAAAACCAAUCGGGCUCCGGCUCGUCCAAUGGUGAAUCUGAAUAACUACGCUGAUCGCAUGGUCUUUGUACCAGCGAUAGAUCUUUCAAAUGUCUGUCCUAUCAACUUUCGAUGGUAGUUUACACGCCUACCAUGGUUGUAACGGGUAACGGAGAAUUUGGGUUCGA
rnacentral:rRNA from 1 species